AUGAACGCUGGCGGCGUGCCUAAUACAUGCAAGUCGAGCGAACAGACGAGGAGCUUGCUCCUUUGACGUUAGCGGCGGACGGGUGAGUAACACGUAGGUAACCUACCUAUAAGACUGGGAUAACUUCGGGAAACCGGAGCUAAUACCGGAUAAUAUUUCGAACCGCAUGGUUCGAUAGUGAAAGAUGGCUUUGCUAUCACUUAUAGAUGGACCUGCGCCGUAUUAGCUAGUUGGUAAGGUAACGGCUUACCAAGGCAACGAUACGUAGCCG
rnacentral:rRNA from 1 species